UGCAUGAAUUAGUGAAGGCUACAGAGCUGA
rnacentral:piRNA from 1 species